UUGAAGGCGUGGAGACUGAAGUCCUCUCUCUCCCCACAGAACAGGUAUGGCACAGACAGUGGCAUUGCAGCCUGCCACUGUCCACCAAUGUGCCUCAGUGCUAGCAGAGGGGCACUGUGUGCAGGGGAAGAGGGCAAUUCAGUCUCCAUGCCCUUCAAUCUUGGGUGACU
rnacentral:sRNA from 1 species